CGCUACUACUUCCUGACUCUCGCGCAGGGGUGGAGAUAUGAGAUCCAGUACACCCUAAAGAAGCUGAUGAUGAGCUUGGAUUCUUUAAACGCUCCAAAUUUAAAGGACAAACUUGAGCAACUGGAGUGACUAACAAGCGCACUGAGCAGUAUGCACAUCAGUCAAGACACCACCAUUCAGUCGAUGGCCAGGAUUCUGUCUGAGAUGUUGAAGAAGAUGGACGGUUUCUUGCAGCGGGAUUUGGAGCGCGGUCAACCUCAACUGGAGAAAGUAGGGCACUGAAGCGAACUCAGCACAGAGCGUAACUGGAACCCGGGGCCUUGCUGUUCUGUACGGCUCAGCUACACAUCCGUCUACUCAUCAGUGCCAACUGAGUCAUCGCGGAGGGGACCAGCAGAGACCAGUAUAUUGUGAAAUUCCCAAUGACUCAGCCUUUCCUUACUGCAAAGCAGAGUGGAUGUGUGCCCACUGGCAGUCGGAUCCUUGUUACAGUUUUUACGGUGUGGAUGGCAGCACCUGCUCCAUCCUCAUUUACCUCAGUGAGAUGGAGCACUUCUGUCCUAUGUUGGUCUGGAGCAACAGCACCGCAGGGUCUGCCCGACCAAAGGGAGAGGAAAAACCCGUGGUAAGUGAGCCACCUUGAGCCUG